rnacentral:rRNA from 1 species
GGACGAACGCUGGCGGCGUGCCUAAUACAUGCAAGUCGAACGGUCUUUCUAUGGAAGCUUGCUUCCACUGAGAAGAUAGUGGCGAACGGGUGAGUAACACGUGGGUAACCUGCCCAUAAGAGGGGGAUAACAUCCGGAAACGGGUGCUAAUACCGCAUAGUUUUCUUGGUCGCAUGAUCGGGAAAGGAAAGACGGCCUUUGUGCUGUCGCUUAUGGAUGGACCCGCGGCGUAUUAGUUAGUUGGUGAGGUAACGGCUCACCAAGACGAUGAUACGUAGCCGACCUGAGAGGGUGAUCGGCCACAUUGGGACUGAGACACGGCCCAAACUCCUACGGGAGGCAGCAGUAGGGAAUCUUCCGCAAUGGACGAAAGUCUGACGGAGCAACGCCGCGUGAGUGAAAGAAGGUUUUCGGAUCGUAAAACUCUGUUGUCAGAGAAGAACAAGUUGGAGAGUAACUGCUCCAGCCUUGACGGUAUCUGACCAGAAAGCCACGGCUAACUACGUGCCAGCCGCCGC